UACGUAGGGUGCAAGCGUUAAUCGGAAUUACUGGGCGUAAAGCGUGCGCAGGCGGUUUUGUAAGACAGAUGUGAAAUCCCCGGGCUCAACCUGGGAACUGCAUUUGUGACUGCACGGCUAGAGUGUGUCAGAGGGGGGUAGAAUUCCACGUGUAGCAGUGAAAUGCGUAGAUAUGUGGAGGAAUACCGAUGGCGAAGGCAGCCCCCUGGGAUAACACUGACGCUCAUGCACGAAAGCGUGGGGAGCAAACAGG
rnacentral:rRNA from 1 species